CUGAAAACCAGAGCUCGUCCGUGGCUUCACUUGUUUUGGACUAAGGAGCUGAGGAGCGUGCAAGACUGUACUUGGAGAAUCUGUUUCUUGCUGCCAUUUCGUCACUGAACACUAUUUUUUUUCUCCUUCUUUUUUUGUAAGAAAAGGAGAACACAUAAAACCCCACCAGAACAAACUCCACUCGGCCCUGAAAGUAUUUACAAUCACGGCCCUGAAAGUACUGAAAGUAUUUACAAUCACGUUACAGUUCAUUCACUGCUGCAGAACCUCUCUCCAGCGAUCAAGGUCGAAGGGAGCCGACGUCGCCCUCUAUCGGCUCCCUGCUGCACUAGAAGCCGGACUCACUCAGGAGGCCCUUCAUCUUCAUGUUCCCCACAUAGCAGAGGGGAGGGCAGAAGAUGAGAGGGAGGAGAGAGCAGAGCCAAGAGCCUCCUUUUCUCCCACUGUGCCCCUCCUAUGUGUGGCUCUGGACACCAGGAACCACCCAAGGACAGUGGGACUCCUCGAAAAGAUAAUUGCUCAUGAGGGAUCCAAGAGCAAGGCUUGUUACAUCCUAUAACCUUCACACAAAAUAUUGACUGAGAAUCCUCCAUGUGCCAAGUACUGUUCAAAAACACUGGGAACCCAGCAGGGAUGAGCCACAAGUUUCCUUGUCUUUACGAAGCUUUCAUUCUGAGGGAGUGGAGAGAGACAAGCAAUAAACAACCAAUCAAAACAAAGAUGACUCCUCUGAGUGUUGUGAUAUGCGGGUCAAGGAGGAUGGCUCCCAGGAUGUGACCUCAGAGCAGAAGCCUGGAGGCUUGCCAGCAGCGGGAAGAGCAGCGGCAGGGCACUGCAGGCAGAGGUGACCAAAAGCGUGAAACCUUGAGCUGGGAAGCACGUGGUCUGCUGGAAAGUGGGCUGAUGUAUUUGAAGAGAGCAAGGAGCAGAAUGGUACAAUGGGGUGAUGGGGGAAGAGCCAGGCAGAGCCCAGUGCUGCAAAGCCCGGUAGCACAUACAUGUGUAACGUACCUUGAAGCAAAUGAAUGGCCUGAUCUGGUUUCUGUUUUGGCUGCUCUGUGGUGAUGUGGUGCCUGGGAGGCAAAGAAGCUGGGAAAGAAGCGGUUUUUCUCUUCUAGGUACUUUAAAGCUCUAUAAUAUAUGCUCAGGUGAAAUUUGGCUG
rnacentral:lncRNA from 1 species